GGGGGGCUCGAGGGUUGAGAUGACGCUCGGACAGGCAUGCCCGCCAGAGUGCUGGCGGGCGCAAUGUGCGUUCAAAGAUUCGAUGGUUCACUGAAUUCUGCAAUUCACAUUACUUAUCGCAUUUCGCUGCGUUCUUCAUCGAUGCCAGAACCAAG
rnacentral:rRNA from 1 species